rnacentral:rRNA from 1 species
AUUGAACGCUGGCGGCAGGCUUAACACAUGCAAGUCGAGCGGGGUGAUGGUGCUUGCACUAUCACUUAGCGGCGGACGGGUGAGUAAUGCUUAGGAAUCUGCCUAUUAGUGGGGGACAACAUCUCGAAAGGGAUGCUAAUACCGCAUACGUCCUACGGGAGAAAGCAGGGGAUCACUUGUGACCUUGCGCUAAUAGAUGAGCCUAAGUCGGAUUAGCUAGUUGGUGGGGUAAAGGCCUACCAAGGCGACGAUCUGUAGCGGGUCUGAGAGGAUGAUCCGCCACACUGGGACUGAGACACGGCCCAGACUCCUACGGGAGGCAGCAGUGGGGAAUAUUGGACAAUGGGGGAACCCUGAUCCAGCCAUGCCGCGUGUGUGAAGAAGGCCUUAUGGUUGUAAAGCACUUUAAGCGAGGAGGAGGCUCUUUUGGCUAAUACCCAAGAUGAGUGGACGUUACUCGCAGAAUAAGCACCGGCUAACUCUGUGCCAGCCGCCGCUGUAACAC